AUUGAACGCUAACGGCGUGCUUAACACAUGCAAGUCGAGCGGCAGCAUGACUGUAGCAAUACAGUUGAUGGCGAGCGGCGGACGGGUGAGUAAUGCAUAGGAAUCUGCCUUGUAGUGGGGGAUAACCCGGGGAAACUCGGGCUAAUACCGAAUAAUCUCUAUGGAGCAAAGUGGGGGACUGUCGGGCCCUACGCCACAAGAUGAGCCUAUGUUGGAUUAGCAAUUUGGUAGGGUAAAGGCCUACCAAGGCAACGAUCCAUAGCGGGUCGGAGAGGAUGAUCAGCCACACUGGGACGGAGACACGGCCCAGACUCCUACGGGAGGCAGCAGUGGGGAAUAUUGGACAAUGGGCGAAAGCCUGAUCCAGCAACGCCGUGUGUGUGAAGAAGGCCUUCGAGUUGUAAAGCACUUUUAGUGGGGAAGAAAAGUUCAUGGCUAAUAUCCAUGAAUGCUGACGUUACCCACAGAAAAAGCACUGGCUAACUCUGUGCCAGCCGCCGCGGUAA
rnacentral:rRNA from 1 species